rnacentral:lncRNA from 1 species
GGAGUCUUGCUCUGUCACCCAGGCUGGAGUGCAAUGGCACAAUCUCAGCUCAUUGCAACCUCCAUCUUCCAGGUUCAAGGGAUUCUUCUGCCUCAGCCUCCUGAGUAGCUGGGAUUACAGGCACACAUCACCAUGCCCAGCAAAUUUUUUGUAUUUUCAGUAGAGAUGGGGCUUCACCAUGUUAGCCAGGCUGGUCUUGAACUCCUGACCUCAAGUGAUCAGCCCGCUUUGGCCUCCCAAAGUGCUGGGAUUACAGGUGUGAGCCACUAUGCCUGGGCUUAUUUUGUUUUUUCUGCAUAAACAUCCUUUAAGAAAAAAAUUUGGAUCACACCAUCUACAUAGCUUUGUUGUUUGCAAUGAGAAAAAUCUCUAACAAUGCAUCAUGACCAUUUUCCUAAGCGAAUAUCCCUUUAAAGCUAAGCGUCUACUUAGAGGUUGGAUUUAUUUUUUGCCAGUGAUGACAUUCUUCACCACAUAAAAUACUUAUAAACUCAAGAUUAAGGCUGAAAUCACAAUGGGAAGAAUAGCAGGCUUUCAGGCUGCAUGCUGUGCCUCAGUCUCGAUUACACAAUCCUUCCCCAGCAAACGCCAGGGAAAUUCGACGAAGACAUCAGCCUGGGGGGAUCAGUCUUCCUUGGACCCUUUAAUACUAGGAGUUGUAUUAUCAGCACAACCGCUUUCUGCAGUUCCGAUCUUUGCAGGUACUACUAAAAUUUCCUCUUGGCUGCAGAGAGGAACUAUCAUACAGUCUUUAGAGCAUGUGAUUAAGGGCUGGCUCUGGAGUCGGACCUCCACCUAAGUCCUGCUGCACCUGAGAUGGUCGUGUGACCUUGGCAAGGGACUUCACUCUGUGGGCUCUAGAUCCCUCAUCUGUAACUCAGGGCAGCUACUGUACCCACCCCUGCAGGCAGUCAUGAGGAAUCAAUAGCACAGUGCCUAACACAUAAGCCACCCAUAAAUAUCAGCUAUUAUUAUGACAACUUGUGUGUUUGGAGCUUCUGCUCUUAUUUUCUGAGCUGCGCUUGCCAUUCGCUGGUAUCAGGGCUGCUCUUGGCAGCUUGUCUUGAUGGGAAGAUAAUCCAGGCCUUAUGAAGUAUCUGGAUGGCUGCCAUCAUCUUGCUUGGAGGCACUGGGCAUGGGUGUCUCAAGCAUGCUCUGACCCCACCUGCACCUUAAGCAGCCACGCACCACAAUUCCACUGACAGAGGCUUAUGAUUUUAUUUUAUUUGUUAACAAGUUCAUUUAUGACAUGAUUACAUUCAUUAUGAUGUGAUUACUGUACAAAUAAUCAGGGGAGGCAAGAUCACAUCAUAAAUAAGUUUAUGGUCUUUGGAGUUGGACAACAUGGGUUCAAAUCCCAGCCCUCUUACUUAAUUUUUUUUGCAACACAGGGUCUCACUGUGUUGCCCAGGGUGGAGUGCAGUGGCCCAAUCAUGGCUCACCACAGCCUUGACUUCCCAGGCUCAAGCCAUCCUCCCAUCUCAGCCUCCCGAGUAGCUGGGACCACAGAUGGCAUGUGCCACCACGCUUGGCUAGUUGUUUUUUAUUUUUGGUAGAUACAGGGUCUCGUCAUGAUGCCCAGGCUGGUCUCGAACACCUGAGCUGAAGUGAUCCAUCCACCUCAGCCUCCCAAAGUGCUGGAAUUACAGGCGUGAGCCACUGCACCAAGCUAUUUAUUUGACUUUGAACAAACAAUUUCCCAUCUCUGAACUUAUCAGUUUCCUCAUCAAGACAAGGUCUCACUAUAUGGCCCAGGCUGGUCUCAAACGAUCUUCAUGUCUUGGCCUCCCAAAGUGCUGAGAUUACAGGCAUGAGCCACCAUGCCUGGCCCAGGUUAUUCUUAAUCUCACCUUUUAGAGGUAGAAAGUGGAGAGCCCCGCCCUGUGGGCUUUAAAUCUUGUUCCACUUCAGACACUUUCACAGCUCUGACAUCAUGAAUACUGUAAUCACCCAGCACAGGAGGGACUGCGAUUCCCAGAACUCUGACAUCAACAGCCUGUGAGGACAGCAAGCUGGAUGUGGCUCGCUCUGAACAUCUGCCUCUCCACUCAGGAGACCUAGCUCCUUGCAGAGCCUCAUUCUUCCACGUGUUUCAGGGCGACCCCAGCGGGUAGAUAACAUGCACCCAUAGAUGAGUCCUGGUUGCCACUUG